ACCAUGAUUUUCUAUGCCUCUUGUUCCAGCAGUUUCAAAAGUCCAAAGUGUGCUGAAACUAUUAGCUGAAAAUUCAAUAGUAAUUUUAAUUUGAAAUUAAUGAUAAUUUGGUUGAAGAGGCAGCAUUUAGUUAAUUAGACAACUGUCCAUGUGAUAUAAAGUUAACUAAAUAGAUGGCCCAAUCACAAACUCCUUACAUACUAUAACCCUAUUUAUAUAUAGUGCGUACAGCAAAUAGUGUAGAAACUAAUUAAAAUGCUCCCAAUAUUAAAAUUAAAAGAGUUAGAUUGAUGUAGUAUUAGUUUAUAUAGAAUCAUAGAUGGCCUCUUUGUCAUUCAGUUGUAGUAGUUUUUGCAAAUCAAGAAAUCCCUAUUUCUCCUGCAAGCGCAAGGUACAACUUAUUCCACAAGCCAGAUUCCAGAAUUUUGAGGAUGAAGGAAAUUCUCAAAACGCAGUGGAUACAAACAUGAGUGUUUUGAUAAGGAGAAUGGAAAAUUUAAGGAUGAAGGAAAGGCUCAACUCAUAUUAUUGCAAAACGGAGAAAAAUGGAUGGAACUACACAUCCAAAUAUGACGUCGUACAUAAACACAAGAUGCAUAAUUUUCUUGUUACCUCAUUCCAACUUGCCCAUAUAGUUUGCACAACCAUUGCCCUUGUUUUUCUCACCGGCUCCCUUUCGAUAUUCCUAGUUUCCUUCAUCUUCUCCCAAUCCAUUAAUUAAAAUAAUAUAGGUAUGUAUGUGUUUUUGUUAUAGACUCUUUCUCCUUAUAUGUUAGUCAUUCGUAAGAGUUUCAUGUUUAGUUUGUAAAUUUAGUUCUUUUAUUGGGAGGUUUAGUUACUCAGAGUGGUAGACUACCACUCUGGGGAAGGAUUACUGUCCUAACUAAUGAGAACGUUUUCCCUUAAAGGUAUUGAUCGAUUGUAAUUAAAUCAGUGCAAGUUGUUGGACUUCAGUUGAA